AAUCUGGGCCUCCGGCAGCCAGCAGGCUCCUGGGAAGGAAGUCACAGGAGCUGUCUGGCAUCUUGAUAAGCCUUCCUUAGGUACCAGCUUCCACUGGAGCUCCUACAGUCACCUUCUGACAAGUUAAACUCCUUUUCUGCAUGGUCCAGUGAAACGAACGGAGGAGGAAAGGGACAUCAGAAUAUUUCCGAGCAUGUGUACAGCCCUCUCAAACUGGAUGACUAACUUGACACUGCAGAAUGUGGGUGAGCAGGCCAAUCCUCUGAGGAAUGACUGCCUCGGCAAGAGAUCUCAUCCUGUGCCCUUCGGUGCUCCUGCCAACGUUUGCUUCUCAGACUCCAUGGUGUUCUUUCCACCCCAGACUUCCUUCCUAUGAUAAUCUCUUGCCCAUCGCCUUGGAGACUGCUUUUCUGGGGGAGAGAAGACUCCAGGAUGCUUUUCCUUUCAGCAAUGGCUUUCACCCACCUAUUUCUAGCUCAAGAUUUUAUUGACCAUUCUCCUGCUUCUGCAAUUUGCCUCCUGGUAACUUCAACAUCCUCCCUCCCCCACAUACUCACACACGCUCACGCACAGACGCUUGCAUAAACAUUCACUCACAUGAGUACAGACACACUCAUGUAAUUUCCAGUUGGCUAUUUUGUGUUAUUGUGGACUGGAAAUGAUAAAUUUUUCUUUUUUGAAAA